rnacentral:rRNA from 1 species
UACGUAGGGUGCGAGCGAUAAUCGGAAUUACUGGGCGUAAAGCGUGCGCAGGCGGUUUGCUAAGACAGGUGUGAAAUCCCCGGGCUUAACCUGGGAACUGCGCUUGUGACUGGCAGGCUAGAGUACGGUAGAGGGGGGUGGAAUUCCUGGUGUAGCAGUGAAAUGCGUAGAUAUCAGGAGGAACACCGAUGGCGAAGGCAGCCCCCUGGGCCUGUACUGACGCUCAUGCACGAAAGCGUGGGGAGCAAACAGGAUUAGAUA